GCAUUGGUGGUUCAAUGCUAGACUUCCUGCCUUCUACGCAGAAGACCUGGGUUCAAUUCCCAGCCAGUGCA
rnacentral:tRNA from 2 species